GACGAACGCUGGCGGCGUGCCUAAUACAUGCAAGUUGAGCGAUGAAGAUUGGUGCUUGCACCAAUUUGAAGAGCAGCGAACGGGUGAGUAACGCGUGGGGAAUCUGCCUUUGAGCGGGGGACAACAUUUGGAAACGAAUGCUAAUACCGCAUAACAACUUUAAACAUAAGUUUUAAGUUUGAAAGAUGCAAUUGCAUCACUCAAAGAUGAUCCCGCGUUGUAUUAGCUAGUUGGUGAGGUAAAGGCUCACCAAGGCGAUGAUACAUAGCCGACCUGAGAGGGUGAUCGGCCACCUUGGGACUGCGCGACGGGCCAAAAUGCUACGGGAGGCAGCAGUAGGGCAUCUUCGGCAAUAGACGAAAGUCUGACCGAGCAACGCCGCGUGAGUGAAGAAGGUUUUCGGAUCGUAAAACUCUGUUGGUAGAGAAGAACGUUGGUGAGAGUGGAAAGCUCAUCAAGUGACGUUAACUACGCAGAAAGGGACGGCUAACUACGUG
rnacentral:rRNA from 1 species